rnacentral:rRNA from 1 species
UACGUAGGGGGCAAGCGUUGUCCGGAUUUAUUGGGCGUAAAGAGCGUGUAGGCGGCUUUACAGGUCCGUUGUGAAAACUCGAGGCUCAACCUCGAGACGCCGGUGGAAACCGUAAAGCUAGAGUCCGGGAGAGGAGAGUGGAAUUCCUGGUGUAGCGGUGAAAUGCGCAGAUAUCAGGAGGAACACCAACGGCGAAGGCAGCUCGCUGGGACGGUACUGACACUGAGGCGCGAAAGCGUGGGGAGCGAACAGG